CAGCAGCCGCGGUAAUACGUAGGUCCCGAGCAUUGUCCGGAUUUAUUGGGCGUAAAGCGAGCGCAGGCGGUUAGAUAAGUCUGAAGUUAAAGGCCGUGGCUUAACCAUAGUACGCUUUGGAAACUGUUUAACUUGAGUGCAAGAGGGGAGAGUGGAAUUCCAUGUGUAGCGGUGAAAUGCGUAGAUAUAUGGAGGAACACCGGUGGCGAAAGCGGCUCUCUGGCUUGUAACUGACGCUGAGGCUCGAAAGCGUGGGGAGCAAACAGGAUUAGAUACCCCUGUAGUCCCUGUCUCUUAUACA
rnacentral:rRNA from 1 species